GUCGGGAUAGCUCAGCUGGUAGAGCAGAGGACUGAAAAUCCUCGUGUCC
rnacentral:tRNA from 1 species